rnacentral:rRNA from 1 species
AUUUAUCGCUUGAAGAGGAGCUUGCGGCAGAUUAGCUAGUUGGUAAGGUAACGGCUUACCAAGGCGACGAUCUGUAUCCGGUCUAAGAGGACGGUCGGACACACUGACACUGAAUAACGGGUCAGACUCCUACGGGAGGCAGCAGUCGGGAAUUUUGGGCAAUGGGCGAAAGCCUGACCCAGCAACGCCGCGUGAAGGAUGAAGUUUUUCGGAAUGUAAACUUCGUAAGAAUAGGAAGAAUAAAUGACGGUACUAUUUGUAAGGUCCGGCUAACUACGUGCCAGCAGCCGCGGUAAUACGUAGGGACCAAGCGUUGUUCGGAUUUACUGGGCGUAAAGGGCGCGUAGGCGGCAAUUCAAGUCAUCUGUGAAAUCUCCGGGCUUAACUCGGAAUGGUCAGGUGAUACUGCUUUGCUAGAGUGCAGAAGGGGCAAUC